GCCCAGCUGGCUCAGUCAGUAGAGCAUGUGACUCUCAACCUCAGGGUCAUGAGUUCAAGCCCCAUGUUGGCCG
rnacentral:tRNA from 1 species